GUACAGAGGGUGCAAGCGUUAAUCGGAAUUACUGGGCGUAAAGCGCGCGUAGGCGGUUUAAUCAGUCGGAUGUGAAAGCCCCGGGCUCAACCUGGGAACUGCAUUCGAUACUGUUAAGCUAGAGUAUGGUAGAGGGAAGUGGAAUUCCAGGUGUAGCGGUGAAAUGCGUAGAUAUCUGGAGGAACAUCAGUGGCGAAGGCGACUUCCUGGACCAAUACUGACGCUGAGGUGCGAAAGCGUGGGGAGCAAACAGGAUUAGAAACCCUAGUAGUCC
rnacentral:rRNA from 1 species